GCAUAUCAAUAAGCGGAGGAAAAGAAACCAACCGGGAUUGCCUCAGUAACGGCGAGUGAAGCGGCAAGAGCUCAAAUUUGAAAGCUGGCUCCUUCGGGGUCCGCAUUGUAAUUUGCAGAGGAUGCUUCGGGUGCAGCCCCCGUCUAAGUGCCCUGGAACGGGCCGUCAUAGAGGGUGAGAAUCCCGUAUGGGGCGGGGUGUCUGCGUCCGUGUGAAGCUCCUUCGACGAGUCGAGUUGUUUGGGAAUGCAGCUCUAAAUGGGUGGUAAAUUUCAUCUAAAGCUAAAUACUGGCCGGAGACCGAUAGCGCACAAGUAGAGUGAUCGAAAGAUGAAAAGCACUUUGAAAAGAGAGUUAAACAGCACGUGAAAUUGUUGAAAGGGAAGCGCUUGCAACCAGACUCGCUCGCGGGGUUCAGCCGGGCUUCGGCCCGGUGUACUUCCCCGUGGGCGGGCCAGCGUCGGUUUGGGCGGCCGGUCAAAGGCCUCCGGAAUGUAGUGCCCUUCGGGGCACCUUAUAGCCGGGGGUGCAAUGCGGCCAGCCUGGACCGAGGAACGCGCUUCGGCACGGACGCUGGCAUAAUGGUUGUAAACGACCCGUCUUGAAACACGGACCAAGGAGUCUAACAUCUACGCGAGUGUUCGGGUGUCAAACCCGUACGCGCAGUGAAAGCGAACGGAGGUGGGAGCCCCCUCGCGGGGCGCACCAUCGACCGAUCCUGAUGUCUUCGGAUGGAUUUGAGUACGAGCGUAAAUGUGGGGACCCGAAAGAUGGUGAACUAUGCCUGAAUAGGGCGAAGCCAGAGGAAAACUCUGGUGGAGGCUCGCAGCGGUUCUGACGUGCAAAUCGAUCGUCAAAUUUGGGGUAUAGGGGCGAAAGACUAAUCGAACCAUCUGGUAGCUGGUUCCUGCCGA
rnacentral:rRNA from 1 species